rnacentral:lncRNA from 1 species
GUACAUCAUGCUAAGCGAAAUAAACCAGACACAGAAAGACAAAUACUAUAUGGUCUCACUUAUAUAAACAAUCUCGAAAAGAUGGAAUUCAUAAAAUAACAAAGUAGAAUGGUAGCUGCCAGGGAUUGGGUCAGUGGAUAAGAUGGGGAGAUGUUAAUUAAAGGUUAUAAGCUUUCAGCUAUCCAGGAUGAAUAAGUUCUAGAGAUUUAAUAUAUAACAUGGUGUCUAUUGUUAAUAAUACUGCCCUGUAGACUUGAAAUUUGCCAAAAGAGUAGAACUUGUGUUCUGACCACAAAAAAAAAGUUAACUAUGUGAGUAUGUGAGGUGAUGGACAUGUUAAUUAACUUAAUUGUGGUAAUCAUUUCACAAUGUAUACCUAUAUCAAACAUCAUGUUGUACAUUUUAAAUACAUAAAAAUUUUCAUUUGUCAAUUAGAGCUAAAUAAAACUUGAAAAAAUGUUUUAAAAGAUAUACUUCUUUGAAAUUGGAAGGGGUUUUGUUUACUUGUUUGGGUUUUUUGUUUGUUUUCUUUUUAUGGCUGCAGCUACAGCAUGUGGAAAUACCUGGGCUAGGGGUUGAAUCCGAGCUGCAGAUGCAGGCCAAUGCCGGAGCAACACCAGACCCAAGCCACAUCUGCAACCUGCACCACAGCUUGCAGCAACACUGGUUCCUUAACCCACUGAGCAAGGCCAAGGAUCAAACCCACAUCCUCACAGAGACAACAGAAGGUCCAUAACCUUCUAAGCCACAACAGGAACGCCUUUUUUUGGCUGUACCCAUGACACAUGGAAGUUCCCAGGCCAGGGGUCAAAUCCGAGGAGCAGCUGUGACCUACCCCACAGUUCCAGCAACGCAGGAUCCUUAACACACUGCACCAGGCCAAGGGUUGAACCCAUGCCUCAGAGACAAUGCCAGAUCCUUAACCUACCCUCACCACAAAGGGAAUUCCUGCAAGGUAUUACUAUCAGAGUUACGAUGUAGAAUAAUAGGAUGAAAGCUAAUCAAGAAACUCUAACAAUAGAUUUUUCCUUCUUUUUUACUUAUAAAGAAAUGUUAGACUUCUCAACCUUUGAAUAUAUUAUCAUUACUACUAAAAGCCUUAAUAUGAAUUUUUAAAAGCAGUAAUGCAUCUUUUCCUGCUUUUAUAAUCUAGAAUAGAAACAUAUUUUAGAAAAGGAACUUUAUUUACAUAUUUCUAGUACUAAUGCUAUGCAGUAAUAAUUAACAUACUAGAAACUUGUAGUCAGAUUUUAUUUAGAAAUGUCACUGCUAUAGUUGUUAAUGCUUAGAUUCUUCCAGACUUUAAUUAUGCUUUUGUAGUGCUAUGGUUACAGAGCAGAAUAUCUGUCUAAAUUCAGAAAACACUUUUAAAGUAAAGAAUUAUUAAUAUUUUCAAGUGUCAAGUUGUUAACUUGCCAGAUUUUAUUUAACUAAUAUUUGAAUAGCAAUGGGAUAUAGUAGAUACAUAAAGGAGACUUGGUUUCUAAUUGCAAACUUCCAUUAACAAUAUGAACUUUAACAUACCAUUGUGCUUUUCUGGUCUUCGGUUUUCUUACCAGUAAAAUGAGAUUAUUUGAACUGAAUUCUAGGAUCAUUUCCAAAUAGAAAAUGCUUUGAAAAAAAAAAGCUACAGCCUAAAACAUUUUUCUCCAACUUGAGGGUGAAAUAAUGACACUAACUGAGACAAAUUAAAAGUAAAACAAUGACACUAAUUGCUGGAGAAAUUGGACCACAAGAUGCGGUGUGUUUAUUACUUUUAUUGGGGACCAAUUUAGCAUAUAAUCUUUAUUGCCAAAGACAAAUGCUGAGCAGAAAUUUGUCCAGGCUGUAUAACAGGUAAUUCCUUGGGACAGUGAGUUUUCCACAGUGAUAUCUUUGAAUUAUUUUCUGCAUGGCAAAAUAUGAAAUGACUUUUGUUCUCUCAAAGGUGUCUAAAAAAAUAGGAAGAUCAAGGUUAAAUAUCUCUGCUGUUAUCACCAGGGAUAAGCCAAACUCAGACCACCACAGACAUUUAUCCUCUACUUGUAGGGUCCAAUUAUAACUCUGGUCAAAAAAUUAAAUGUAAGAAAUGCAUAAAGACACAUACAGUAUUGUUCAUACUGUAUCCAAUUCUAAAAACAAAUGUUUAUGUUUUCAUGGUUAUCAUUCACUUACAAGAAAAAUCAGGUAAACUUGAAAUACAUCCAUUUAAAAUAAUAAAAAUAAAUGACCAGCAGAACUUGUUUCUCAAAUGAAAUUAGACUUUUCGAAACUUCUUUGCAUAAUAGUAUUCUGUAACUUUUUGUGGUUUGAGAGGUGAUAACUGAGCGCAAAGAUGUGGGAGCCAUGAGGGGAUAUGCAUGCCAGGCAUUUCUACUAAAUAUCUACAUCUGAGCAACUCUUAGAGAUGUGUUAUUUUUUAAUAAAUCUUUUGAGCUUUUUAGCAGUGAUUUUUAAUCCACUUUUCCAGUGAAAGCUAUGCUAUAAUAUAAUUUGUCCUUCUGUUUUAAUUCUUAACUAUCAACGUUCAAUUAAAAUAUAACAUGAUUUCCAUAACAUAAGUAAGAUAGUCACUAACAUUUUCUCCAACUCUACUGCUCUUUUUUCUCCAACUCUACUGCUCUUAUAAUUCUUGGUGAUUUUAAUAUCCAUGCAGUUUCUUGACCUCCACUCCUGAUAAUUUUGAUUUCCACCCCUCUUAAGACACACACUGCCCUAAACUGCAUCUCCUUCACAAUCUCAAUUUUAAAUUUAACUCUCUUGUAUGACCACCCCCUAUGACAUAUUUCCUUCCCAUACCAGAUUUUCAAUAUUUCUUCUACCCACUGGAACCUACAGUCUUUCAACUUUUUUUUCCACUUUACUAUCCCCAUUAUAUUUGAACUUCCUACCUUACACACCUCAGAUUCUAGAGUCCAUCUUCACAGUCUUAUCCUCAAUCAUUUUGCCCAUUGUGAUUAAAUUCAACCCCAUCCUUUCUUUACACCUAUACUCAUGCAGGUAUAAGUUGCUGGAGAAAAAUACACAAUCAUGCUGACAGGUAUUACCUUAAAUUUAAGAGCAUUAACCUCAAGUAGGCCUUUCAUACUGCCCAAAUACAGUAUAAAUAUUCUUUAACUUUAUUCUUUAACUUUACCUGUGAGUUUUUCAUAGUUUUUUCGCCAUCCUCAAACCUUUUCACCCCUUCACCCACAGAUUAUGACCCAGCUUCCAUUUCAUCGAGAUAGCUGAAGCAAAGAGAGCUUCUACAAGCUCUCAAUGCCACACAGAUGCACAUAUUUGCAUCCCUGCCAAAAUUGUUCACCUUCUCUCCAAUCUUAGAAUAACCCCUCCACUAGUGCCCUAAGGCCCAUCAUCCUCUACGCACUUACUGAAGACCACUGUUCUCAAAACACUCCUCUUUUUAAGGCAUCCUCUUCAUUUGCACACAAAUGUGUAAUAAUAUACUCCAUCUUACAAAUAACUUUUGUUAACCACGUAUCAUCUUCACUCUGCCAACAUUUAUAGCAAAACUCAUUUAAAAAAAAUGUAUUGUACUCCCUGACACUUUUUCUUCUAUUGAAUUUUGCAAUGUUGCAGUCAUUGAAACCAAGGCCUUGGUCACCACUACUUCACUCAAGUGAGGACUUUCCUGACUACUCUAUAUGAAAUAAAAAUACAGCCUCCAAUCCCAGAAGCCCCAGCCUCCUCAUGCACUUAUCUUUCUUUAUGGUACUUACCAUUUGUUAUACGACACACUUUUUUUUUUCCUAUUGUGUCAUUCCUCACUAAAUGUAGGCUCCGUGAGUAUAAGAAUAUUUAUUUGUUUGUUUGUUCACUCACAUCUCUUAAUACCUAAAGAACACCUGAUAUAUAGUAGCAGCUCAAUAAAUAUCUUUUGAAUGAAGAGACCCUUUUACAUAAGACAAAAUCAAAAUCUGAUCCAAAGAGAAUCUGUCAUUAUUAAAAAGCACAGAAUCUCAAAGCAUUAGAGGUAGAAAGGACUUUAGAAACCCUACCUACCAAAAAUAAAAUAUUUCCAUUGUGCAACAGCAGCAUGAGUUAGGACCGGAGAAACAUAGGUGCUCAGCUACCACUCUGCCACAAACACAAACUAAGCAGACCUAUUUUAAAAUUUCUUUUCUAUUUUAGACUUAGACAUAAUACUUUAGCAAGUAUUUUGAAGAAAGAUAAAAAACCUAAAAACAUGAACUAUAGAUCUAGUAUAAAUCCUCAUUCACAGACAAAAAGAUUGAGUCCUGAAAAAAUGAAGUGAGCUAUCCCAGGUCAAAUCUUAAAGAGUUUGAGAAAACCAGGGUAGGAAUUCAGGGCUCCUCAGUCUUUUACUCAUGCUCUCCCCACACCAGGUCCACGUUUCUCCAUGUAGAGCUCUUCAUUAGUGGCAUUAAGUGAAUAUGAUUUGCACUGCACUUCCAAAAGAUUCAAUUAUUAUUUUGGAUUUAAUAAUUACCAUAUCCUCCCUUUCUUACAAAUUUUUUAAAAUUAAAUUCAAUAAUUAUUCUUUCAGAUUGCUGAACAUAAUAUACAUAUAGUCAAAGUUUUCAUAAUGUUUCAUAAAGAAAACUAAUUUAUAUUCACAAUGAUAGAGCAGUGCAGAGGGUUUGAUUACAAUUUGCUAUAUUUAAGUAUUUCCCUAAAUAGGUGAUAUAAUCUAAAUUUUCUGCACAGUAUUUCUCAAUUUCUCUUCAGAACACAGUCCACAGAGCUGAAUUGGUUUCUGAUUGGAACAAAUGAGAAAGAAAAUGUAUGACCCAAGAGCAUUCUACUAAGCUAACACAAUACAUGUGUUUCUCUGCUAGAUUUAGAUUAACCACUGCUUUGAUGCACCAACUGGCCCAUUUCUUUUAAAUGGGUUUUCUUCUAUUCAGUGUUCAUAAGCUCCUUGUCAACAAGAUAACUCCCUAUGCUGAAUAAAAGUCCCCUUAGACCCUGAGAGCCGUGGAGGAUUAUUUGCUCACUAGUGAUUGUUAGAGGCCUCUGACAACUUCAUUUCGAUAUAUUUUCCCAGAAGGUAUAUAACUAAAUACCCUGAACACUUAAGCAUUUGCACUUUUAAAGUCUCAGUGCUCAGAGAAUCAUAGGAAUCCUACUAGGAUUUUUUACGGCUAUUUAGAGAAUGGGAUAGCUAAUUCAUUUCUUCAUUUACUACAAAGAAAGUAAAUUCAAGGUAGCAGUAAUUCACUUGAUCAAAAGAAGUUUUCUGCCCCAAAGGGUUCCUACGACUGAUCCUGCAAGAAAAUAAAGACUGAGGGCAAAAAGUUGUCCCAGCAUGGGCUCCAUGUACCACCCACAUUUACAAGAUUCUAUUUGUUGGUAGUUGAAUGUUGAAAACUGAAAAAGAGACCAUGUUUACAGCUUGCAAUUAUAGUGCCUAAAAUAUUAUUUAUAACACCAUAGAAUUUAUUGCUUCCUUACUUUAAAUAAUCAGAGAUCUUUGUAUAUUCAGUUGCAGCUUGGAUUCAAUCCCUGGCCCAGGAACCUCCAUAUGCCAGAAUGCUGCAAUUAAACAACAACAACAACAAAAAAAGUUGUUGUUUUUUUUUGGGGGGGGGGUGCCUUUUCUAGGGCCACUCCCGAGGCAUAUGUGGAUUUCCCAGGCUAGGGGUUGAAUCGGAGCCGUAGCCACCAGCCUAUGCCAGAGCCACAGCAACAGGAUCCGAGCCGCCUCUGCAACCUAUACCACAGCUCAGGGCAACGCCAGAUCCUCAACCCAAUGAGCAAGGCCAGAGAUCAAACCCACAACCUCGUGGUUCCUAGUCGGAUUCGUUAACCACUGCACCAC